GGCCGACAGCAGUGCAGUGUAGUGGUUAGCGUGCCAGACUAGGAUCUGGGAGAGACCAGGGUUCAAUUUCCUGCUUGGCCC